rnacentral:tRNA from 1 species
CCGAAGGAGGCAGGCAGGACUUAAAAUCCGUUGGGGCCAAAGCCCCGUGCGGGUUCGAGCCCCGCCUCCGGCACCA